CAAUACACACGUUCUUCCAUCAUAAUAAAGUCGUAAUGCUUAGCCUAUUGUGUCAAUACGUUACGUUCUUUUUGUGAUGCAUAGUCUAGUAGGUUUGAUCUAAAUGCAGUUAUAGCACAUAGCCUUUUUUCCGGGAUUUGUCGAUAUAAUUGUGCCGCCGUGUUAACACAUUACUACGGUUGAGGGUCAGGCACUCUCCACGGAAAAUUCUAGAAGCAACUGUACAAAGGGUACACAUGGACCCCCAAGGGCGAAUGAUGACUGAGCAACAGGAGAAGAUCUGGUUGAGCACGCUGAAUUUGCCUUCCUUUCUGAGACUGUGGUCACUGUUCUGGGAGUGCAGCUGCCUAUCUGAUUCUGUGGAUCUGUGGAGAAACAGCAGACAAACACAAGAAAACCCAGUCACCC